rnacentral:tRNA from 1 species
GAGGGUGUAGCUCAGUGGUAGAGCGCGUGCUUAAGAUGCAUGAGGUCCUGGGUUCAAUCCCCAGUGCCUCCU